CUCAGGAGCUGUCGGUGGAAUUACUGAAUUAGUUAGUGGGUCACUCCCUCACCAUCUCCCCUUUGCUUGAUUCCAAAUCCAGCCUGGUACACGUUCACCAUCCACCCUCCAUUCCCCAACCCAAACCCCAUCUCGACCGUCCAUCUCUCCAUCCCCAGAAAACGACACCGCAUCUAACCACCGCUUUCCUUACCUUGCAUCACACUCUCUAUAGUCCAAGGCCCCUUUCCAACAUCAUUCCAGCUCUUCUUUCCCUUUCAUUUCUUCAAUUUUAUAGCUCCAAAAAUCCCAGCAGAAAAAACCGACCGUUUUAAUCCCUGCUGCAUUGUAAAGAAAUGUUGAAUUUCAAGAUGUUUUUGCCGGUUAUUUGUCUAAUUUUGAUUCUUUCACCGGCGAUUUCCUACGCCGACGAGUCGGCGGUGCCGUCGAAAGUGGUGAAGGUUGUGAAGGGGAAGAAGUACUGUACAAAGGGGUGGGAAUGUUCGACCCCAUCUGUUUACUGUUGUAAUCUGACGAUCUCGGACUAUUUUCAGACUUACCAGUUUGAGAAUCUGUUCUCCAAGAGGAAUUCGCCGGUGGCUCAUGCCGUUGGGUUUUGGGAUUACGAAUCUUUCAUUCACGCAGCUGCUCUUUUCCAGCCUUUGGGAUUUGGUACCACUGGAAACAAGACUGCCCAGAUGUUGGAGCUUUCCGCAUUUCUUGGUCAUGUCGGUGCCAAAACUUCUUGUGGUUAUGGGGUAGCCACAGGGGGCCCUUGGCUUGGGGUCUAUGCUACAACAAGGAAAUGAGUCCUAGCUCAAUAUACUGUGAUGAUUACUUCAAGUUAACCUAUCCAUGUGCUCCUGGAGUUAGUUACCAUGGUCGUGGUGCACUACCUCUUUAUUGGAACUACAACUACGGGCCUGUUGGUGAAGGCCUCAAGCAAGAUCUUUUGAACCAUCCUGAAUACAUUGAACAAAACGCGACUCUGGCUUUCCAGGCUGCAAUAUAUCAAUGGAUGAAACCCCAGAAAAAGGGACUACCUUCUGCUCAUGAUGCAUUUGUUGGCAACUGGAAGCCCAACAAAAAUGAUACUGAAGCAAAACGAGUUCCUGGUUUUGGGACAACCAUGAACCUCCUCUAUGGAGAUUCUGUUUGUGGUCAAGGUGAUAUUGACAGUAUGAAUAUCAUUAUCUCCCAUUAUCUAAACUACCUUGACCUUUUGGGAAUUGGGCGAGAAGAGGCAGGGCCUAAUGAAGUACUCAGCUGUGCUGAACAGAAAGUGUUCAAUCCUUCCUAUACCCCCUCAACUUCUUCUUGAAAUGUAAUGAAUCUUAGCAGCCAGUGUCAUUUUGUGGACCAAAUUAUCUCUGGCAAAGAACCAUAUAAUAAAAAGAACAAUUAUGAUUUGCCUUGAUUGUGUGAAGAUCAGUUAGUUGGAAACAAAGCAUGUUAAAAGCUGUUUGAUGUGUUCUUUAUAUAGACUUUUGGCAUAAUUUUUGUCCUGUAAUAUUUGUUAGUAUAAGAGAUUUGUUGAAUUCAUGUACUGUAUCAUGUAUACUGUAAUAUAAUCAUGAAAGUUUGUGAAAGUUGUGAAAGUUUCAGUUA